CGCUUCGGAGGUUAGCGGCGGACGGGUGAGUAACACGUAGGCGACCUGCCUGUACGACCGGGGUAACUUCGGGAAACCGAAGCUAAUACCGGAUACGAUGGCAAACCGCAUGGUUUGCCAUGGAAAGACCAUGAGUCACGUACAGAUGGGCCUGCGGCGCAUUAGCUAGUUGGUAGGGUAACGGCCUACCAAGGCGACGAUGCGUAGCCGACCUGAGAGGGUGAUCGGCCACACUGGGACUGAGACACGGCCCAGACUCCUACGGGAGGCAGCAGUAGGGAAUCUUCCGCAAUGGACGAAAGUCUGACGGAGCAACGCCGCGUGAACGAUGAAGGUUUUCGGAUCGUAAAGUUCUGUUGUUAGGGAAGAACCGCCGGGAUGACCUCCCGGUCUGACGGUACCUAACGAGAAAGCCCCGGCUAACUACGUGCCAGCAGCCGCGGUAAUACGUAGGGGGCAAGCGUUGUCCGGAAUUAUUGGGCGUAAAGCGCGCGCAGG
rnacentral:rRNA from 1 species